GAUGAACGCUGGCGGUGUGCCUUAGGCAUGCAAGUCGAACGAUAAACCUUCUUCGGAAGGUGGACAGUGGCAGACGGGUGAGUAACGCGUAGGAAUCUACCCUUUAGUGGGGGAUAGCCAUCCGAAAGGAUGGGUAAUACCGCAUACGGUCUUUUGACCAAAGACUUCGGUCGCUAGAGGAGGAGCCUGCGUCCUAUCAGGUAGUUGGUGGGGUAAUAGCCUACCAAGCCAAUGACGGGUAGCCGAUGUGAGAGCAUGAUCGGCCACAAGGUUACUGAGACACGGAACCUACACCUACGGGUGGCAGCAACCGGGAAUAUUGCGCAAUGGACGAAAGUCUGACGCAGCGACACCGCGUGUGGGAUGAAGCUUCUAGGAGUGUAAACCACUGUGGCGAGGGAUGAAUUUUGACAGUACCUCGCUAGAAAGCACCUGCUAACUACG
rnacentral:rRNA from 1 species